rnacentral:rRNA from 1 species
UACGUAGGGGGCGAGCGUUGUCCGGAUUCAUUGGGCGUAAAGAGCUCGUAGGCGGCUUACUAAGUCGAGUGUGAAAACUCCAGGCUCAACCUGGAGCCUGCACUUGAUACUGGUAUGGCUCGAGUCCGGUAGGGGACCACGGAAUUCCUGGUGUAGCGGUGAAAUGCGCAGAUAUCAGGAGGAACACCUGCGGCGAAGGCGGGUUGCUGGGCCGACACUGACGCUGAGGCGCGAAAGCCAGGGGAGCGAACGGG